ACUCCUACGGGAGGCAGCAGUGGGGAAUAUUGCACAAUGGGCGCAAGCCUGAUGCAGCCAUGCCGCGUGUAUGAAGAAGGCCUUCGGGUUGUAAAGUACUUUCAGCAGUGAGGAAGGUGGGAGUCAGUUAAUAGGCGGCCUUCAUUUGACGUUAGCUGCAGAAGAAGCACCGGCUAACUCCGUGCCAGCAGCCGCGGUAAUACGGAGGGUGCGAGCGUUAAUCGGAAUUACUGGGCGUAAAGCGCAUGCAGGUGGUUUGUUAAGUCAGAUGUGAAAGCCC
rnacentral:rRNA from 1 species